UCCAGAAACUGAGGCCCAGAGGAAAGAAGGAGUCAUCCAAGGUCCACAGCGUGUCCAUUGCAGAGCCAAGGACUUGUGCAAGAUGCUGGGGAUGGUCAUGGUGAGCAAUACUGACACAGCUGCUGGCCUUAUGGAACUUACAGACGAGUCAAGGAGAUGAUAUUCAACAAAUAAUUACACCAACCAUAAUGAGUACGGUGAAACUGAGCUUCUGAGAGGGGAUGGCAUACAACCAGGGACAGGCACAGAACUGGAUCCCAAGUCAUUUCCUUUUGGCUAACAGCCGAGCUCUU